rfam:Picea glauca, whole genome shotgun sequence.
GGAAAUGUAGCUCAAGUAGAGUUCUUUCCUUCUGGCAAGUGAUCUAGGUUCAAAUCCCAACAUUCCCU